rnacentral:rRNA from 1 species
GAUAAACGCUGGCGGCGUGCAUGAGACAUGCAAGUCAUACGGACGAGCUUGCUCGUCAGUGGCGAACGGCUGAGUAACGCGUAGGUGACCUGCCCCGAAGUGGGGGAUAACUGCCCGAAAGGGUGGCUAAUACCGCAUGUGGCGACGUGUCCAUUCACGUCAUCAAAGCCGCGAGGCGCUUCGGGAGGGGCCUGCGUCCGAUUAGCUCGUUGGUGGGGUAACGGCUCACCAAGGCGACGAUCGGGUAGGUGGUCUGAGAGGAUGAUCAGCCACACUGGAACUGACACACGGUCCAGACUCCUACGGGAGGCAG